GGGCCAUACAGCCUUCAUGGAGAAAAUACUUGGCCUCUGCCUUUAAGUUUCCAGCCCCCCGGUUAGAGAUUUUGCAAGGUGUUAAUGUUUAAUUCACAAUAUUGGUUCAUUCCAGUGUCUGCCCUUAACCUUUGCUUUUGAGUUUGUUUUUUGAACCAGUCCUACAGGCACACCCAAAGCUGCACGCUUUCACAGCCUUUUUAGUAGUCUGAUUAAGAGCACUUGCCUACGAUCACAGCCUCCAGCUGCAAUGGCUUCACCGGUCGUCUCUUCUCCGGCAGCUGGACAACUUUUCAGGCCCAGUCUAACAGCACACGAGUAACUUGCAAUCGUCCGAGUCAUCCGAAGUCAUCGUGGUCUUCAGCACCUGGAUGCACUUUCUGUUCACGUGGCUUUGGUGCGUUUCGUUGCUUCUGUAUUUUCCCUCUCUCGUCUUGCUGCCAAGGGGAAGGAGCAGGCGCUACCUGGAAGCUAGGAAAAUGCUCCGGGAACGAUGAGCCGGGAUAAAGCUUUUCAGCGCUGCGAGCCGCUCGCGGCGCCGGUGCUGCACACCCAAAGCGUCCUGCCUUAUUCCUCGCCCUUUUCUGGCGCCGGAACUUCGGAGACGCCCGGCUCCAGCCGCCGGAGAAGGGGGCAGAGCGACGCGGGGGCAGAACGGCGCGGUUCUGUGACCCGGGAGGGGAAGAGCUGUGCGCGUUUCCGCGGGCGCUUUGCUGCGGGCGGUCCCGGAGCAGCCUCAGCGGUGAGAAACCCGUCAGACCUUGCUGGUACAAAGGGAGACCUCCCCGACGGCCGCGAGCGGCGAAGCGGGGUCAGAAGCCGACGACGAGGCACUGAACGGAGCCGCGAAAACUGCGACAUCCAGCGCACGGCGCGG
ensembl:lncRNA